GUGAAUCAUCGAGUCUUUGAACGCACCUUGCGCCCCUUGGCAUUCCGAGGGGCACACCCGUUUGAGUGUCGUGAAAUCAUCAAAACCUUCUCUUUGACCCUCUUUGGUCGGGAAAAGGAUUUUUGGACUUGGAGGUUCCAUGCUCGCCUUCACUUUUGAAAGUCGAGCUCCUCUCAAAUGAAUUAGUGGGGUCCGCUUUGCUGGUCCUUGACGUGAUAAGAUGUUUCUACGUUUUGGAUUUAGCACUGUCCCUUGGAUGCCUGCUCCUAACCGUCUCACGGACAAUGAUGGUGCUCUGGUCACUGCCAUCUACAUUGGCGGGAGGCUGGACCCACAAAAGAAAACCUUGACCUCAAAUCGGGUGAGACUACCCGCUGAACUUAAGCAUAUCAAUAAGGCGAGG
rnacentral:rRNA from 1 species